AGCGAACGCUGGCGGCAGGCCUAACACAUGCAAGUCGAACGAACUCUUCGGAGUUAGUGGCGGACGGGUGAGUAACACGUGGGAACGUGCCUUUUGGUUAGGUAUAACUCAGGGAAACUUGUGCUAAUACCGAAUGUGCUCUUCGGGGGAAAGAUUUAUCGCCAUUUGAGCGGCCCGCGUCUGAUUAGCUAGUUGGUGAGGUAAUGGCUCAUCAAGGCGACGAUCAGUAGCUGGUCUGGGAGGAUGACCAGCCACACUGGGGCUGAGACACGGCCCAGACUCCUACGGGGGGCAGCAGUGGGGAAUCUUGCGCAAUGGGCGAAAGCCUGACGCAGCCAUGCCGCGUGAAAGAUGAAGGUCUUAGGAUUGUAAAAUUCUUUCACCGGAGACGAUAAUGACGGUACCCGGAGAAGAAGCCCCGGCUAACUACGUG
rnacentral:rRNA from 1 species